rnacentral:rRNA from 1 species
GAUGAACGCUGGCGGCGUGCUUAACACAUGCAAGUCGAACGGUGAAGCAGGAGCUUGCUCUUGUGGAUCAGUGGCGAACGGGUGAGUAACACGUGAGCAGCCUGCCCCUGACUCUGGGAUAAGCGCUGGAAACGGCGUCUAAUACUGGAUAUGUGAUGUGACCGCAUGGUCUGCAUCUGGAAAGAAUUUCGGUUGGGGAUGGUCUCGCGGCCUAACAGCUUGGUGGUGGGGUAAUGGCUCACCAAGGCGUCGACGGGUAGCCGGCCUGAGAGGGUGACCGGCCACACUGGGACUGAGACACGGCCCAGACUCCUACGGGAGGCAGCAGUGGGGAAUAUUGCACAAUGGGCGGAAGCCUGAUGCAGCAACGCCGCGUGAGGGAUGACGGCCUUCGGGUUGUAAACCUCUUUUAGCAGGGAAGAAGCGAAAGUGACGGUACCUGCAGAAAAAGCACCGGCUAACUACGUGCCAGCAGCCGCGGUAA